UACGAAGGGUGCAAGCGUUACUCGGAAUUACUGGGCGUAAAGCGUGCGUAGGUGGUUUGUUAAGUCCGAUGUGAAAGCCCUGGGCUCAACCUGGGAAUGGCAUUGGAAACUGGCAGGCUAGAGUGCGGUAGAGGGCAGUGGAAUUCCCGGUGUAGCAGUGAAAUGCGUAGAGAUCGGGAGGAACAUCUGUGGCGAAGGCGACUGCCUGGACCAGCACUGACACUGAGGCACGAAAGCGUGGGGAGCAAACAGG
rnacentral:rRNA from 1 species